GAUGAACGCUGGCGGCGUGCCUAAUACAUGCAAGUCGAGCGAACAGACGAGGAGCUUGCUCCUCUGACGUUAGCGGCGGACGGGUGAGUAACACGUGGAUAACCUACCUAUAAGACGGGGAUAACUUCGGGAAACCGGAGCUAAUACCGGAUAAUAUAUUGAACCGCAUGGUUCAAUAGUGAAAGACGGUUUUGCUGUCACUUAUAGAUGGAUCCGCGCCGCAUUAGCUAGUUGGUAAGGUAACGGCCUGCCAAGGCGACGAUGCGUAGCCGGCCUGAGAGGAUGAUCAGGCACACUUGAACUGAGGCACGGUCCAGACUCCUAAGGGAGGGAACAGUGGGGAAUUCUGGCCAAUGGGGGGAAACCUGGUCGAGGCAUAGCGGGGGGGUGGAGGAAGGUUUUCGGUUGGUAAACCCUUUUGAUGGGGAAGGAACAAAGGUGUAAGUAACCAUGCAGGUCUGACCGGAACCAAAGCAGAAGGCCACGCCUACUUCCUU
rnacentral:rRNA from 1 species